GACGAACGCUGGCGGCGUGCUUAACACAUGCAAGUCGAACGGAAAGGCCCUGCUUUUGUGGGGUGCUCGAGUGGCGAACGGGUGAGUAACACGUGAGUAACCUGCCCUUGACUUUGGGAUAACUUCAGGAAACUGGGGCUAAUACCGGAUAGGAGCUCCUGCUGCAUGGUGGGGGUUGGAAAGUUUCGGCGGUUGGGGAUGGACUCGCGGCUUAUCAGCUUGUUGGUGGGGUAGUGGCUUACCAAGGCUUUGACGGGUAGCCGGCCUGAGAGGGUGACCGGCCACAUUGGGACUGAGAUACGGCCCAGACUCCUACGGGAGGCAGCAGUGGAGAAUAUUGCACAAUGGGCGGAAGCCUGAUGCAGCAACGCCGCGUGCGGGAUAACGGCCUUCGGGUUGUAAACCGCUUUCGCCUGUGACGAAGCGUGAGUGACGGUAAUGGGUAAAGAAGCGCCGGCUAACUACGUG
rnacentral:rRNA from 1 species